UACGGAGGAUGCGAGCGUUAUCCGGAUUUAUUGGGUUUAAAGGGUGCGUAGGCGGGAUACCAAGUCAGCGGUAAAAAUGCGGUGCUCAACGCCGUCGAGCCGUUGAAACUGGCGUUCUUGAGUGGGCGAGAAGUAUGCGGAAUGCGUGGUGUAGCGGUGAAAUGCAUAGAUAUCACGCAGAACUCCGAUUGCGAAGGCAGCAUACCGGCGCCCUACUGACGCUGAGGCACGAAAGCGUGGGUAUCGAACAGG
rnacentral:rRNA from 1 species